rnacentral:rRNA from 1 species
UACGUAGGUGGCAAGCGUUGUCCGGAUUUACUGGGCGUAAAGAGCGCGCAGGCGGUGCGAUCAGUCGAAUGUGAAAGCCCCCGGCUCAACUGGGGAGGGUCAUUCGAUACUGUCGGACUUGAAGGCAGGAGAGGGAAGCGGAAUUCCCGGUGUAGUGGUGAAAUGCGUAGAUAUCGGGAGGAACACCAGUGGCGAAGGCGGCUUCCUGGCCUGUUCUUGACGCUGAGGCGCGAAAGCUAGGGGAGCAAACAGG